rnacentral:rRNA from 1 species
AGUAUGUGGUUAAUUCGACGCAACGCGAAGAACCUUACCAGGGCUUGACAUCCUCUGGCGGCUGCAGAGAUGCAGCUAUCCCUUCGGGACAGAGAGACAGGUGGUGCAUGGUUGUCGUCAGCUCGUGUCGUGAGAUGUUGGGUUAAGUCCCGCAACGAGCGCAACCCCUAUGGUCAGUUGCCAGCACGUCAAGGUGGGCACUCUGGCGAGACUGCCGUUGACAAAACGGAGGAAGGUGGGGACGACGUCAAAUCAUCAUGCCCCUUAUGUCCUGGGCUACACACGUACUACAAUGGCAGCAACAGAGGGCAGCCAAGCCGCGAGGCCGAGCGAAUCCCAAAAUGUUGUCUCAGUUCAGAUUGCAGGCUGCAACUCGCCUGCAUGAAGUCGGAAUUGCUAGUAAUGGCAGGUCAGCAUACUGCCGUGAAUACGUUCCCGGGCCUU